GAAGCCGCCCUCGGGGGCCGCCAAGAAACGCCCACGCUCUCUCCCAAGAAGAGGUGGAUAGGAUGCCUUCGAUUCUAUCCACGGGAGGCACCGCGCCGUUCUCGCCUAGCCGAGAAGCGGCUGCUCCGAUCGAUGCUUGAGGAGAAUAGCGGGUUUCGCCUUCGAUGGGGAAGCGGAAGCCCGUGGUGGUGCUCUCCUCCUCGGAGGCGGAGGGCGAGGGGCAAGGCGGCUCGGUGACUUGACGCUGUGGAUCUUCGAGGUUGAGAUGAAGAACGGCGCUACCCUCCGUGCAGGAGAGGCCUCGAGGUGGGAUCUCUGAGAAGGAAUGGCAAGGCAUCUCAAGAACUAGAGGCAGUAAGGGUGAGUAGAUAUCAAUGUAGAUCAGCUUUGUUCCCUGAUUUCUGGAUGUGAGGCUUUGCAACUCUCUCUUUAGCUUUGAAUUGUAUAAUUGUGCUAGUUGGUUGCGAUCAGCAACACAAUCUUUCAUCUUCCCUCCGGCCAGAGCUCUUUGUGAUGGUAUGCAUCCAAUUGGUGGAAUUCCAAGAACAGCGACCCUUUUUGCUCCUAGAUUCACCAAGUCCUGAUUAACAAAAGGAAGAGAUCAGAUGGAAGUGAAACUAUUAGUAUGACCUUCUUUUUUGCGUCAGUAUAAGUCGAGGGAAAAGGAAUGUUUUAUCAACACUAUAUUAGAGAAAAUGAAUGGAAUGAAUUUAAGGUAGGUAUAACCUUAUACACCAUGAA